CCGUUACCGGAAUAGAUCACGGCGACGAAGGUUUACAACAACCACGAAGCUCAACUUCCCGGUAGCCGUUCGUUUCACCUCUCGCAAGUAAAUUGCUUGGAAAUUUUAGGGGAGGAGUGAGGACGUUUAAAAGUAGAAUAUACUCUAAACAUUGCCUCAAACCCUUAAACCCUGGUUGUUGUUGUUUGGUUCUCACUUGCAAGUCAAACCACUAGCGUGUAAACACACUCAUUGAAAAUCGAAAUGGCUCUCUCUCGAACUGAGAGAAGUUCUAAUCAGAAAAUAAUUAGCUCCAGAAUGAGUAGCUCCGUGCGCAGUUACUCUACUUGCAAUUUCUCAAGUUACGGAGAGUAAAACCCAUUCAGUGUCUCCUUUUGCUUUGCUAUCGCGUCGAUUCACCUCUCAAGUUUCUGCUGCAUCGGGUCAAAUGAAUCUGAUAAAGCAAUUGAGGGAACAAACCAGCGCCCCCAUCAAGGACGUCAAGUUGGCUCUCGUUGAUUGCAACUGGGACAUAGAGGCUGCACAGAAGUAGCUGGGGAAAAUAGGGAAGGUUCUAGCGUGGAAAAAGUCAUCCCGGACAGCCUCGGAGGGCUUGCUAGCCUUGGCACAGAAUGAGGGGAAGGCUGCUGUGAUUGAACUUAACUGUGAGACUGACUUUGUUGCUAGAAAGAAAAUCUUUCAGUACUUGGCAGAAAGUACAGGGAAGUCUCAGAUGGCAAUAGAAAAAAUGGUAGAGGGUCGUUUGCGUAAGUACUAUGAAGAUGUUAUUCGAAGGUAGAGACUAUACACCUCUACUUGAUGGCACAUGUUGUCCUCCAUGCUUAAAGUGUAUGGUUUAUUUCUCCCUAGUUGAUUCUACUUCUGAUAGUCUUUUACUACUGUCGUAUGUUGGUUGUCUAUUCGGUUCUUGACUUGAGGCCAAGCUCCCUGAUACAUGAUCGUAAUCGCCUGCUGAAGAAUUUGUAUUUCUCAUAAUUCAAGGGUCAUGGCUAAUGGUUUUGCAGGCCUGUGGAUUCCACUGCAGAUGAACCAGUGAUGUUAUCUGCUUAGUUUGAGCCAUGCUUGACCUUUAUUUUGAGUGGUGGCAUGUGUUCCUCACCUGUCAACCUGAAGGUCAUGAAAGUAGACGUUAACUUUGAAGAGCUGGGGAAGUUUUUGCCUCUCCAGUUGUUACAAACUUACAACUAUGUUCUAAAAUAUAAGUUACUGCAUAGUGCGUACUUAAGUUAGCGCCCAUUGCAAGAAUUCGCACAUCUGCUUGGGAAUCACAAAAUACAAUGUCUUAGUUUUUGUAGAAUUACAAUUGUUCUUCUCCUCUUAACCAGAGGCUCGAUAUGAAAAAUGCUGUUCUUCUUCCACAUUCGGACCAUUGAUUUUGCUACAGGCAUUGCAGCAUUGUGGGUGUUAAGAAUCCUGAGGUU